rnacentral:rRNA from 1 species
GAUGAACGCUAGCUACAGGCUUAACACAUGCAAGUCGAGGGGAAACGAUAUUGGAAGCUUGCUUCCGAUAGGCGUCGACCGGCGCACGGGUGAGUAACGCGUAUCCAACCUGCCCACCACUUGGGGAGAACCUUGCGAAAGUAAGACUAAUACCCAAUGAUAUCUCUAGAAGACAUCUGAAGGAGAUUAAAGAAUUAUCGGUGAUGGAUGGGGAUGCGUCUGAUUAGCUUGUUGGCGGGGUAACGGCCCACCAAGGCGACGAUCAGUAGGGGUUCUGAGAGGAAGGUCCACCACAUUGGAACUGAGACACGGUCCAAACUCCUACGGGAGGCAGCAGUGAGGAAUAUUGGUCAAUGGGCGAGAGCCUGAACCAGCCAAGUAGCGUGCAGGAUGACGGCCCUAUGGGUUGUAAACUGCUUUUAUAAGGGAAUAAAGUGAGCCUCGUGAGGCUUUUUGCAUGUACCUUAUGAAUAAGGACCGGCUAAUUCCGUGCCAGCAGCCGCAGUAA